AGCGAACGCUGGCGGCAGGCCUAACACAUGCAAGUCGAACGAAGUCUUCGGACUUAGUGGCGGACGGGUGAGUAACACGUGGGAACGUGCCUUUAGGUUCGGAAUAACUCAGGGAAACUUGUGCUAAUACCGAAUGUGCCCUUCGGGGGAAAGACUUAUCGCCUUUAGAGCGGCCCGCGUCUGAUUAGCUAGUUGGUGAGGUAAUGGCUCACCAAGGCUACGAUCAGUAGCUGGUCUGAGAGGAUGACCAGCCACAUUGGGACUGAGACACGGCCCAAACUCCUACGGGAGGCAGCAGUGGGGAAUCUUGCGCAAUGGGCGAAAGCCUGACGCAGCCAUGCCGCGUGGAUGAUGAAGGUCUUAGGAUUGUAAAAUCCUUUCACCGGUGAAGAUAAUGACUGUAGCCGGAGAAGAAGCCCCGGCUAACUUCGUGCCAGCCGCCGCAGUAAGAC
rnacentral:rRNA from 1 species